CCCUAAAUUAUCUCUUCCCUCAAACUCUCAGUCUCUCAGUCUCCAUUCUAGAUCAGAUUCGGAGACUCUCUCAGUCUCUCACUCUCUCAGUCUCCAUCCUAGAUCACUCUCUCAUUCUCUCAGUCUCCAUCCUAUCUUAGAUUCGAAGACGAUUCUGACUCUCUCAGGCUCUCAGCCCAGACAAGCGAGACGAACCCAGACGAGCGAGCGAGACGAACCCAGAACGGGCGAGCGAGACGAACCCAGAACGGGCGAGCGAGACGAACCCAGAACGGGCGAGCGAGACGAACCCAGAACGGGCGAGCGAGACGAACCCAGAACGAGCGAGCGAGACGAACCCAGACGAGCGAGCGAGACGAACCCAGAACGAGCGAGCGAGACGAACCCAGAAACAUCUCGUCUUCG
rnacentral:lncRNA from 1 species